CCCAAAUGGUCUUGUUUAACUUGUAGCAAAGACUUACAGACAAGUGAAAGAAAUAAAUCCUCUUUUGCACCCCAUAACUCAUUGCUGAGUAUGAGAUUUGGCACAUAUAAGAAGGAAUAUG
rnacentral:snoRNA from 1 species